rnacentral:rRNA from 1 species
UAAUACGUAGGGGGCGAGCGUUGUCCGGAUUUACUGGGCGUAAAACGCUUGUAGGUGGCCACGCCAAGUCGGACGUGAAAUCUCCCGGCUUAACUGGGAGGGGUCGUUCGAUACUGGCGGGCUCGAGGCAGGUAGGGGGAAGCGGAAUUCCCGGUGUAGUGGUGGAAUGCGUAGAUAUCGGGAGGAACACCAGUGGCGAAGGCGGCUUCCUGGACCUGUUCUGACACUGAGGAGCGAAAGCGUGGGGAGCGAUCCGGAUUAGAUACCCGGGUAGUCCACGCCGUAAACGGUGGGCACUAGGUGUCGGGGGUAUCGACCCCUCCGGUGCCGCAGCUAACGCACUAAGUGCCCUGCCUGGGGAGUACGGCCGCAAGGCUA